AACGAACGCUGGCGGCAGGCUUAACACAUGCAAGUCGAGCGAGAUCUUCGGAUCUAGCGGCGGACGGGUGAGUAACGCGUGGGAACGUGCCCUUUUCUACGGAAUAGCCUCGGGAAACUGAGAGUAAUACCGUAUACGCCCAGUAAUGGGGAAAGAUUUAUCGGAGAAGGAUCGGCCCGCGUUAGAUUAGGUAGUUGGUGGGGUAAUGGCCUACCAAGCCGACGAUCUAUAGCUGGUUUGAGAGGAUGAUCAGCCACACUGGGACUGAGACACGGCCCAGACUCCUACGGGAGGCAGCAGUGGGGAAUCUUAGACAAUGGGGGCAACCCUGAUCUAGCCAUGCUGCGUGAGUGAUGAAGGCCUUAGGGUUGUAAAGCUCUUUCAGCUGGGAAGAUAAUGACGGUACCAGCAGAAGAAGCCCCGGCUAACUCCGUGCCAGCCGCCGCAGUAA
rnacentral:rRNA from 1 species